UUAAAGCCAAAUCUUGUGCAAGGAUUGGCUGAAAAAAAUGUUACACAUUGAUUACAGGAUAAAAUUACACAAUUUUUGAAAUGAUAAAACAGAAACUUGGGUUUAUGUUCACAUCACAAUCCGUCGAUUAUUUUACACUAUAAUAAAAUCAAAUUUAAAUUAAAUUACCUGUUAGAUUUUAAUUGCUACUCUUGCCUACAUCUUCUUGUGUUUAGUUCCUCAACAUAAAUUAAACAUCAUGAAGGAAUAUGAACAAACAAAAUUUAAAUGCCCUCUAGUGCCUGGCAGCAGAACAAUUUUUGUCACACCACCUAAUGUAAACAAACUGUUUACAUUAGGGGGCAUACUGUUCCCGUCUAAAACCAAAAAACUACACCUGAGAUAUUUAUUGUCAUGCUCUGUGCUGAACUAACCAUCUUUGUCUGAGCUUUGUUUGCAGGUGGAUAUGUCUGGAGAGCUCAGCUGUAUCAAAUCAGCUCAUCAGCGGUCAGGGGAUUUAAGGAGCAGCAGGACAACUCACCAGUACCAGAUGAUACUCAGUCUUGGGUUUCAGUCAUCUAUUCAUAUUCGCUUUCUACAAUAUCACUGGAACCAUCAAUAUUCCAGUCCCGCCGUUUGCCCCUGAUCACCUGCUCCCCGCCACUCACCGGCCCACCUCCUCGGUCUCCCUGCUCAUCCAGGCCUGGCAUACCCUCCCCAAAGAACCCUGAUCAUCCAGAAAACCACCCCCACGGAUCCAUUUCCUGUCCAUCGGAAGCUACCUCUACCGCACCAUACAAAAUAAACCAUUUUUACUACUUCCGACUCCGAGUGGUGACUAUUCAUGUCGUGGGUUAAGAAAUUGCCUUCAAACGUGACAUUUAUUUACUAUCAAUUUUGAUUAUUUUUGGUGUAAACUCAAUCUUUCAUGUUUUUUUUUUAUUGCCCUAAUCCAUUAUUUGAUGCUCACUGGGUUUGUCAACACCACUUAAGGUGUGCUAUAGAGUUCAAGUAAAUGCCACUCCUUUAAACUGUGUCAAUUUCUCAUUUUCUCAGGAAAGUUUGGUUUUCACAUCUGUUUUGGAUUCUCAAUUCUUGAGUCCUGAUUAGUGACUAUUAUCUUCAGUGCGCACAUUUAUCUUGUGUGUACGUGUUAUUUGCAUGUACCAAAACUUCAUGUCACUUCACAAGAUAAUAUUACCAUGGUGUUUAAACAUUUUAAUCUUCUGCGUUGUCGCUAUAUGAUCUACUUUUCUCAUGAAUUAAAUGUGAGUGAGCAUUUUCCACAACUAGCUGCAAUCCCAGAUUCUCACAGAAUCAUCCUUUUUUUCUCCAGCCAUUUUACUAACUAAUGGAAAUGAUUAUCUUAAAAAGCUCACAUUAUAUGCUUGUCACAUUUUUUAUGCAUCAGGAUUAAAAAUCUCAUGGUUUGUAAACAGAAUACAUUUCUUGCAAUUAAAAUGAAAAUGAUUAUCCUGACUAUUGAAAACCUCCUGCAUCACGUUUGUGCACAGCGAUUAUUUAUAUAAAUGGACAUUAAAAAAAACUCACCUCCAGUGCAUCAGUACAGCUGCAUAUGCAUGGAUGAUCUUUGUCUGCAUGCUAAUGAAUGUGAGAAAUGUUAUUAGGAUUGUAUUACUAAUAGAUUGAAGAACUAGUCUGGUGUAUGCAUGAAACAUGUUUUUUAAAUCUGAAAAAAGAUGCUGAACCGCAAAAUGUGAAUUUUAUCCGAGAGGAAAGUAAAAAAAAUCAAUCCGACUCGUCUUCGGUGUUAUUACUGAUGAGUUUGCGCUCCUGUUUUCAUUCUGAUGAAUCCGUCCCCACCGUGUGAUUGGAAUGCAGACUUAUUUGUUUCCUGCUAAACAUUUUGUCAAGCAAAUAGCUGUCACACAAAGACGAGGCAGUGAACCGAAUGAAGGGAGAAUUGUCUGGACUGGAAGCGUUGUCACGUACAUUAUACACUUCACCUAUACUUCACCAGGAAGAUGGGAACCACACAGAUGGAAAAACUAAUCUGCGGGGUGACAGAUGCACGCUGCCAUACUGAAGCUCUAAUUUGAGGAUGACAACUUGUCUAAAUGGUGACACGCGUCCGUGUGAUUAGUUUUCCAUUCUGCGAUUCAAGCAGAAAAUGAAAUCCUGGAUGAAAUGUGCGGCGUUCUAAUAGCAAACCUGGAGCCUCUUGUGGGAACGGCUUCUCGUCUCCCUGCAUCGU